ACUCCUGCGGGAGGCAGCAGUGGGGAAUUUUGGACAAUGGGCGAAAGCCUGAUCCAGCAAUGCCGCGUGAGUGAAGAAGGCCUUCGGGUUGUAAAGCUCUUUUGUCAGGGAAGAAACGGUGAGAGCUAAUAUCUUUUGCUAAUGACGGUACCUGAAGAAUAAGCACCGGCUAACUACGUGCCAGCAGCCGCGGUAAUACGUAGGGUGCAAGCGUUAAUCGGAAUUACUGGGCGUAAAGCGUGCGCAGGCGGUUUUGUAAGUCUGAUGUGAAAUCCCCGGGCUCAACCUGGGAAUUGCAUUGGAGACUGCAAGGCUAGAAUCUGGCAGAGGGGGGUAGAAUUCCACGUGUAGCAGUGAAAUGCGUAGAUAUGUGGAGGAACACCGAUGGCGAAGGCAGCCCCCUGGGUCAAGAUUGACGCUCAUGCACGAAAGCGUGGGGAGCAAACAGGAUUAGAAACCCGGGUAGUC
rnacentral:rRNA from 1 species